GACAAUUUGAUGCAAGAUUACUGCAGAACUCUUUCCUUAUUGAUCUCCAGGGCUGUUCAGGGCUGCAGAGUUGAAUCACUUCCAAAAUUUCUGGCAGAAAGCUUGGCGCGAGUUAGACUACAGAAAGUUUAAUGACACUGCAUUUGCAAGUCACUGUUGCCCUUUUUCCCCUUUAGGUCUGCAUUUGCUAUACAUCACAUUUAGAGGUCCCCAACCUGCUAUUAAUCAAGUUACAUCUCAUCGUCAAGAGAGCUUCUCUGCGAUAUUCCUUCUAAUUCCGCUGUAGGAAUUUCCCGGUGAAGCUUUGUGGAUGCUACUCCAUGGAACAAUUCUUCAAUUCUGACUUACAACAAUGAUCCUAUGUUUAGUUGGCUAUCACGCACGCUGAAGAAAUUCCUCAGCUUCUUUCCUAUAGCAUGACAAUAAUUGCUGGCCAACUUCAACUCUUGAAGUUUUCACCUCUGCCAUUAGCAUGCAAGGAAGCCCUCUUCCACAAACCUUCCAAGAUUGGAGAACAUCAAUAAUGUAAAAAGCCCCGCACCCCAUCCCACCCACCCCGUGUUCCUGUGAAAUGCCGUGUCUGACAGCAGUUUCUCUUCGGAUGAUCCACCAAAUGUUCUUAAUCAGUCCAUCAACUUUACUCCUGGGAAACCAGUUGGUUGAUGUCACACACUUUGUUCUUGAACCUACAAACCAGCUCUAUCUGGUUCAUCGUCUUUUAUAUUUUUGGCCCAGGGAUGCAUAGUAUUCACAUUGAUGCUCUUACCGUCAUCCCAAACCUGCACUUGAAAGGAUGGUGAAUUUCAAUUGGAGGGACUCCUCUGUCAGUCAAAAAUUCAGUCACUGCAUGUAACAUACCGUAAUUCCCACCCAUUGAAGUGAAAGAAGAGAUGCUAAAAAAACAUACCAGAGCUUUGGAGAUAUCAGUACUGCCAUCUGUUGGCCAUUUACAGAACUGGAUGGAUUAUUUUUCAUUCAACCCUCUUGUAUUUAAUUUGUAAUGUAUAUUUCACUACUUCUUUAGUUUUUUUAAAACAUACUUGCAGUCAAGAAGCAAGGCUAAAAAUGCAGUUGUCCUUCUUCUCUAUUAUCUUAUAUUUUCUUCUCUAUCUCAUCUCUAUUUCUUAAAUCAGAAAUCAUUUGACGUAGUCUGCCGCUUAACCUUAAUAUUAAACCUUAUCUUACUUCUGUUGUCUUUUGUUGUUUCUUCCGCCGUUUCCCAUCAUUAGAAAGACUCGUCACCAAAAUCAUUGAUUCUAAAACUAUAGUAGUUAUGCCUGAGUUGCGGUUACAACAGCCUCGUUUGUGGCAAGGCUAUUUGUUUCUUUUUAUGUGCACUUGUCUACAAUUCACACUGCAGUCCAAACAUAGAACCCUGAAUUGUGGUCGUACCUGUGCUGUUAAAAGAAAUAAAUAAGCCUUGUCCUUGUUCCUUUAUUCAAAUCUAUUUUCCAGAGUUACAGUCAAUAAGCAGAGUGUAUUAAGUGAUGAACUUGCGUCUUGUCUUGUAUAACGUAUUUUGAAUUGCUUCUUGUUUGGGAAUUUGGGCUGGUUAAUAAAGAGAUAGCAUUACUUUUUGCUUAUAACACACGGUUUCUUGAUUUCUGCCUCUGUACAAUUAGCCAGCAAAUUCACAACAUACUAUGUCUAAUGCUGCACACUUUCUAAAUAUGAUGGAUUCCAUUCAUGAGCUAAAAGGCAUUCUCAAUAUUUACACUGCAGUUUGUAAUAAGGAUUAAAUACUUAGAUAAAAGUUAAGCAAAGCAAUUUCUUGUUGAAAAUAAGAAAUAGCUUGUUGGGCUGAUAAGAUGAUAGCGUUGUGUUAAUGCCAGUGAUUUUAGGACGGCUUCCAUAUCAAUACUUAAUAGGUUGUCCAGUAUAGUGAUUCACUGUUCGUAGUCUGCAGUAUCCUAGCAACAGAAACACAUACCUGCUUGGGAAAGGAAGAUGAAAGGCUGUUCAGAAAUAUUUCUGCAUAUACAAGGCCAUUUAAUAUUAUGAGCCAUCUCAGAAUUUUAGUUCUAUUGCUUUGGAGAGGUAAGAAUUUGCCAAUCUUCAAGCUGGUCAUCUACGUCCACUAAUACCCUGAUUAGUGUUUUCUGUUUCAUGUUUAAGGAGAGAAUUUCAGCUGUAAUAAAGUCCAAAUAUUUUGCUACCUUCCUGA